GCUACGGUUGGUGCAGGAGCGGGGGUAAUACAGGGGGUGCGAGCGGUAAGCGGAUUUACUGGGCGUAAAGAGCGCGUAUGGGGGUAGUUAAGUCAAAUGUGAAAUCCCCGAGCUUAACUUGGGAAUUGCAUUCGAUACUGGUGAGCUAGAGUAUGGGAGAGGAUGGUAGAAUUCCAGGUGUAGCGGUGAAAUGCGUAGAGAUCUGGAGGAAUACCGAUGGCGAAGGCAGCCAUCUGGCCUAAUACUGACACUGAGGUGCGAAAGCAUGGGGAGCAAACAGGAUUAGAUACCCCAGUAGUC
rnacentral:rRNA from 1 species